rnacentral:rRNA from 1 species
GAAGCGUCUGGAAAGGCGCGCGAUACAGGGUGACAGCCCCGUACACAAAAAUGCACAUAUUGUGAGCUCGAUGAGUAGGGCGGGACACGUGGUAUCCUGUCUGAAUAUGGGGGGCCCAUCCUCCAAGGCUAAAUACUCCUGACUGACCGAUAGUGAACCAGUACCGUGAGGGAAAGGCGAAAAGAACCCCGGCGAGGGGAGUGAAAAAGAACCUGAAACCGUGUACGUACAAGCAGUGGGAGCACGCUUAGGCGUGUGACUGCGUACCUUUUGUAUAAUGGGUCAGCGACUUAUAUUCUGUAGCAAGGUUAACCGAAUAGGGGAGCCGAAGGGAAACCGAGUCUUAACUGGGCGUUAAGUUGCAGGGUAUAGACCCGAAACCCGGUGAUCUAGCCAUGGGCAGGUUGAAGGUUGGGUAACACUAACUGGAGGACCGAACCGACUAAUGUUGAAAAAUUAGCGGAUGACUUGUGGCUGGGGGUGAAAGGCCAAUCAAACCGGGAGAUAGCUGGUUCUCCCCGAAAGCUAUUUAGGUAGCGCCUCGUGAAUUCAUCUCCGGGGGUAGAGCACUGUUUCGGCAAGGGGGUCAUCCCGACUUACCGACCCGAUGCAAACUGCGAAUAUCGGAGAAUGUUAUCACGGGAGACACACGGCGGGUGCUAACGUCCGUCGUGAAGAGGGAAACAACCCAGACCGCCAGCUAAGGUC